CUAACUUAGUCACGUGACGCGCACUUGUCACAAGGAAACAACAACAACAAAAUGUGCUAAAAAAAUGAACUUGCGAGGAAAAUUAAAGUUUUUGAUCGAUUUUCCGCUAAUUCCGUGACAUUAAGCAAUGAUAUUUCAACGACUUCUUUUGAUAGAAUCUCAGUUUUCUCAAUUCAUACGUCAUAUAGGGUAAGAACGCUGUACGAUGCAAUGGCAAUAUUUCGUCUGAGUGGUGAAUUCGGACAACAUUUAAGCUGACUGGGAAAAGUGGAAGAAAAGCACAGAUAUAUGAUAUGUAAAUGGGGGAAAAGCAAAAGAUCACAGAGAACCCUGUAUCUCGGUUUGGGUCUUCCUUGGUGGAAAUGUUUUGUCUGACAGCCGAUGGUUUAGUUUAAUACAGUCCACUUCAACCAGACUGGAGAGAAGACACAUGCAACUAUCUGGCACGAGAUUGUAGAUAGCAGUUAGUGGUGUAUUUCAAACUUUUGAUGAAGGAUGACAAAAAGUUGGACUUUUAUAGUCUGGUUUGAUUUUUAACUGCUUGAGUGACUGGUAAAACAAAUGGUUUGUAUGGCAUGGCUGAACAGAAUAGACUGACUAUCUCGUCAGCAGACAUCUUUACAUGUACUAAACUAGUACCUGAAAUUUACUGAGAGAAUAUGCACACAUGAAACAAGGUAAUCGAUGAGAGCUGUGGAAUAAAUCUGUUGGAAAAAAAUGGAACUUCAAAUUAUAGCUCAACUCUUUAAACGUUUUUGAAGUAGAACUGUUUUAUUACAAUAUUAUUGACAAAAUAAAUAUUAGUUGAUUUUUAGCUCAACUAUUUGAAGAAUAUGGACGGGUAUACUACUCACCCCAGUGUUGGCGCUAGUUAAAAGUCUUUAUGAAAUGGUAAUAUCUCGUAUACCAUCAAAGAUAUUUACUUCAUACUUGGAGCAGUAUUUUAUUAUAACAGUCUCUACCAGUAGGCAAGAUAACAUAACUCUGUCAGGUAUUUUGGUUGAAUUAUGGUCCUUUUUGGAAUUGGAAAUUGGUAAAGAUUUCGUACAAGUCCAUGUUUUGUAAAAACUAUUUGACAUGUAGCUUUGAAACUUUGAACA